AGGGUUCGGACUUUGGGUUUUGCGAUUGAAUUGAUGGAGAGAUUGGGGUCGCCGCCGGAUACGGAGUCGUUCGGGUACGUUAGCUGCGAGGAGGUGAGCGUCUCGAUGGAUAAAGGGAGGAGAGAGGUUCGCUAUUACUUGAAAAGGAUAGACGGAGGAUUGGAUCUGGCCGUCAUAGGAAAGAGACGAGCUCUAGGCAUUCUUCUUAUCACUACGCUGUUAAGAAUAGAUCAAUUUUAUUGUCCACGAGACCUUUGAAGCUCAAGUCCAGACGAG
rnacentral:misc_RNA from 1 species